UACGUAGGCAGCGAGCGUUGUUCGGAAUUACUGGGCGUAAAGAGUGUGUAGGCGGUGCUCUAAGUUCGGUGUGAAAUCUCCCGGCUUAACUGGGAGGGUGCGCCGGAAACUGGAGUGCUCGAGCGUGGGAGAGGAAAGCGGAAUUCCUGGUGUAGCGGUGAAAUGCGUAGAUAUCGGGAGGAACACCAGUGGCGAAGGCGAUCAUCUGGGGUUGUUCUGACACUGAGGAGCGAAAGCUAGGGGAGCAAACGGG
rnacentral:rRNA from 1 species